rnacentral:lncRNA from 1 species
CGCCCGCGUGAGCGCGUUUACUCUGCUACAUGGGCCCGCUUGGGCAGCUCAUUCUUCUUCCUGCAAAACAGAACCAAGCGUAGAUUCGCACCAGAAUAAUAAACCAGCGCAAUCCCAGCCAAGCGGGUCGCCUCACCCCAAUAUAAAUCCAGAUGUCAAGGCCCCCUUCCCUUCCAAUCCAAACCAAUUCCAUACGUCGCCGAGGUAGGGGGUGGAUCGUCAAUAGGAGCCGAGGGAGAGAUGCAAGCCACCACACCUCCAUCCACUGACCAUGGUAGAAAUCGAAGUGAUAGGAUCGUCUGGUGUUCGUCGUAACACCCCGAGGGUGCCGAUAGGGUUUCUUGGGCCAGAGCGUCGACCGGGACCAAGGAAUUUCUCGUCGAAAUUCAUCAUCGUCACGACUCCACCGCCUGCGUGGUCGUUGAACUUCCUACGCACCAAACCACGCGCCAAUGGCUCACCGGAGUAAGUACUCCAUUGCGCAUCCUCGUCUCUCCGUGGCCAGUGUAGACCACCGCGGGUGCGCCGGAUUGGGCACCGCUGAAAGUUUUGCAUGCCUGACCUCUUUGCAUAGCGGUUGUUCGCAAGGGAGAAAGGCGCCUGGACAGCCAGUGCCACAUAUGUCGGCGAUGCCCUGUAACACCCACUUUGUAAUUUGCUAGAAAUAAUACCAAUAGGGAAACAAUUUCUC